AUUGAACGCUGGCGGCAGGCCUAACACAUGCAAGUCGAACGCAGUGGGGACGGGUGAGUAACACGUGGGUAACCUCACAUCAGAGGGGAUAACACUUGGAAACAGGUGCUAAACCGAUAAGGAGGGAUGGACCCGCGGUGCAUUAGCUAGUUGGUGAGGUAACGGCUCACCAAGGCCACGAUGCAUAGCCGACCUGUGAGGGUGGACGGCCACAUUGGGACUAGGACACGGCCCAGACUCCUACGGGAGGCAGCAGUGGGGAAUAUUGCACAAUGGGCGCAAGCCUGAUGCAGCCAUGCCGCGUGUAUGAAGAAGGCCUUAGGGUUGUAAAGUACUUUCAGCGGGGAGGCGUUACCCGCAGAAGAAGCACCGGCUAACUCCGUGCCAGCAGCCGCGGUAAUAC
rnacentral:rRNA from 1 species